rnacentral:rRNA from 1 species
CCUACGGGCGGCAGCAGUGAGGAAUAUUGGUCAAUGGGCGCAAGCCUGAACCAGCCAAGUCGCGUGAGUGAUGACGGUCCUAUGGAUUGUAAACCUCUUUUGUCGGGGAGCAAGGCCCGCCACGUGUGGCGGGAAGGAGAGUACCCGAAGAAAAAGCCUCGGCUAACUCCGUGCCGGAAGCCGCGGUAAUACGGGGGAUGCGAGCGUUAUCCGGAUUGAUUGGGGUUAACGGGUGCGUAGGCGGAAGGUUAAGUCAGCGGUCAAAUGUCGGUGCUCAACACCGGCCUGCCGUUGAAACUGGUCGGCGUGAGUGAGCGAGAGGGAGGCGGAAUGCGUGGUGUAGCGGUGAAAUGCAUAGAUAUCACGCAGAACUCCGAUGGCGAAGGCAGCAUACCGGCGCUCAACUGACGCUGAGGCACGAAAGCGUGGGGAUCGAACAGGAUUAGAUACCCUUGUAGUC